UAAAUAUUUGGGAACAGCAGCAGAUGAAGC
rnacentral:piRNA from 1 species